rnacentral:misc_RNA from 1 species
GAUGAAGAACGUAGCGAAAUGCGAUAAGUAAUGUGAAUUGCAGAAUUCAGUGAAUCAUCGAAUCUUUGAACGCACGUUGCGCCCGCGAGUAUUCUCGCGGGCAUGCCUGUCCGAGCGUCAUUUCAACCCUCAGGGCCCGCCUGCUUCGGCAGGCGCGGCGCUGGUGUUGGGGAUCGGCCUAACCGCCGUCCCCCAAAUACAGUGGCGGUCUCGCUGCAGCCUCCCCUGCGUAGUAGCAACACUCGCAUGCGGAGCGCGGCGCGGCCACGCCGUAAAACCCCCGACUUUCUGAACGUUGACCUCGGAUCAGGUAGGAAUACCCGCUGAACUUAAGCAUAUCAAUAAGCGGAGGA